UACGAGGGGGGCGAGCGUUGUUCGGAAUUAUUGGGCGUAAAGGGUGCGCAGGCGGUUUGUAAGUCUGUCGUGAAAUCCCCGGGCUCAACCUGGGAAUUGCGAUGGAGACUGCAAGGCUAGAAUCUGGCAGAGGGGGUAGAAUUCCACGUGUAGCAGUGAAAUGCGUAGAGAUGUGGAGGAACACCGAUGGCGAAGGCAGCCCCUGGGUCAAGAUUGACGCUCAUGCACGAAAGGCGUGGGGA
rnacentral:rRNA from 1 species